UACAGAGGUCUCAAGCGUUGUUCGGAUUCAUUGGGCGUAAAGGGUGUGUAGGCGGUUCGGUAAGUCGGCUGUGAAAGUCCAGGGCUCAACCCUGGGAUGCCGGUCGAUACUGCCGGACUAGAGUUCGGAAGAGGCGAGUGGAAUUCCCGGUGUAGCGGUGAAAUGCGCAGAUAUCGGGAGGAACACCGAUGGCGAAGGCAGGUCUCUGGGCAUUAACUGACGCUGAGGAGCGAAAGCAUGGGGAGCGAACAGG
rnacentral:rRNA from 1 species